rfam:Pelecanus crispus contig23229, whole genome shotgun sequence.
GCUGGGUUAGCUCAGUUGGUUAGAGUGUGGUGCUAAUAACACCAAGGUCAUGGGUUCAAUCCCUGCUCACUGCA